AGAGUUUGAUCCUGGCUCAGAUUGAACGCUGGCGGCGUGCCUAACACAUGCAAGUCGAGCGGUAACGCGGGGGCAACCCUGGCGACGAGCGGCGAACGGGUGAGUAAUGUUUCGGAAUCUACCCAUGGGUGGGGAAUAACCAGCCGAAAGGUUGGCUAAUACCGCAUAAGUCCGUGAGGGGAAAGCGGGGGAUCGCAAGA
rnacentral:rRNA from 1 species